UAAGCCGGCAGUGUGGAUGGGCUGCCUUUCAGUUCCCUUCGGAGGUGACCCAAAUGGAAAGAAAGCGGGAGGAAGAGGAGGAGGAGGAGGAGGAGGAAGAGCGUCUCCUCCUUGCAAGGCACGCCUCCCUCCCUCCCUCCCUCCCUCCCUCCCUCGGAGCUGGCUUUGCGGUUGCCUUCCUUUCGCAAGGAAAGGGAAGGUGUGUGUUGUUUUCACCGCGACAAAUCCGUAUUUGUUGCCCAGGUGAGAGGGGGCCCUUCCCUCCCUGCUGGCCAGGGGCAGGGUGCCCUCCCCCUCCCCCUCCCCCUUGCCUGGAAUUGAGAGAGAGAAAGAAGGAGAGAAAGAAAGAGAAAGGAAGAAAGAAAGAAAGAAGGGAAGAAACCAGGAAAUGCGGCUUCUGCCGGAGAGGCGAUGGGCAACCAGUGCGGAGGCGCCUGUGCUGGGAAAGGGAGCUGUCCUUCGCCGUUCAAGAGAAAGAAAGAAAAACCAGGUGAGUUUUUGGUUGUCAGUGGGAAUCUUUCUCCGGGAGCUUUGUGAUAUUUCUGGGUUGAGUUC
rnacentral:lncRNA from 11 species